CGCACAAGCGGCGGAGCAUGCGGAUUAAUUCGAUGCAACGCGAAGAACCUUACCAAGGCUUGACAUAUACGAGAACGGGCCAGAAAUGGUCAACUCUUUGGACACUCGUAUACAGGUGGUGCAUGGUUGUCGUCAGCUCGUGUCGUGAGAUGUUGGGUUAAGUCCCGCAACGAGCGCAACCCUCGUUCUAUGUUGCCAGCACGUAAUGGUGGGAACUCAUAGGAGACUGCCGGGGUCAACUCGGAGGAAGGUGGGGAUGACGUCAAAUCAUCAUGCCCCUUAUGUCUUGGGCUUCACGCAUGCUACAAUGGCCGGUACAAUGGGCUGCAAUACCGUGAGGUGGAGCGAAUCCCAAAAAGCCGGUCUCAGUUCGGAUUGAGGUCUGCAACUCGACCUCAUGAAGUCGGAGUCGCUAGUAAUCGCAGAUCAGCAACGCUGCGGUGAAUACGUUCCCGGGCCUUGUACACACCGCCCGUCAAGUCAUGAAAGUCGGUAACACCCGAAGCCGGUGGCCCAACCC
rnacentral:rRNA from 1 species